CUGGGAAGGAGCGGGAGGCUGUGGGGGGUGCGCCAGCUGCGAGUCAGAACUGCUGGGCCGAAGUGAACAGUGGGGCCAAGUCCAAGCCCAGGCUCAUCUGGAACUCGCAGUGAUUUUGCUAUCUCAGCCUUCCGAGUGCGUCACCACGCCCGGCUUCAAGUUUCUAAUCAAGAUAUACCACUUCCGCUGAGGUUACCUGGUCCGGUUCCUCAGGGAUAUGCUAGACGCUCUGGGCAGGGCUGCCUGAAGUCUUCCACCGUCGUGAGACUUCAGCCCCAGGCCUCUGGGACGUGGCCCGGUGUGGCAGGUUGGCCUUGGUCCGAGUUCCCUGUGAUCGUGCCAAGGCUAAGGACAAGGACAAGCUCCGAAGGGCCCCACAAUGCGGCGGCCACAUCCUUCCGUGUCGGAAGCGGUAGGCAGGUCAUCUGGGGUGUGGUGCUGCGCGAAUAAGUGUCCCCCGGGCUCCACUCGUGUGCGCUUUGGGUUCCGGCCCCCAGGGGGCAGCCGCGCCCCACCCUGACCUGCGAGCCCCGAGGAGAAGGAAAGCGAGCAGCAGGCAGCGGCCGAGUAUCCACAUGAACUUUAUUCACACGAUGCGCCAGAGUGAGCGCCAGCGCCGAGCCGCCUGGAGAAGCCAGGGCCCACGGGAAGGAGGACCCCGCUUCAGGGGACACGGCGAACUGGGCUUGUUUUUAAUAAAUAAAAACUCUAAAAAUAUAUAUAUAAAAACUGGGAGGAAAUGAAGUUUGACAACAGUUGGAGGAACUCUGAUUCCGGGUGGAAACCGCAACCGACGCGGGGCUGGUCGAGGCCGCAGGGUGGCGACACAAGGUCGUGCCCGAGGCGAAUGGCGUCGGAUUAGAUUAUGUCUUUUAGCAAA